rnacentral:tRNA from 1 species
GGCUGUUUGGUCUAGAGGUAUGAUUCUCCGUUUGGGUCGGAGAGGUCCCGGGUUCGAACCCCGGAACAGCCC